GGUCUUGUGGUGUAGGGGUUAACAUGCCUGCCUGUCACGCAGGAGAUCGCGGGUUCAAAUCCCGUCAAGACCGCCA
rnacentral:tRNA from 22 species